rnacentral:rRNA from 1 species
GUGCCAGCAGCCGCGGUAAUUCCAGCUCCAAUAGCGUAUAUUAAAGUUGUUGCAGUUAAAAAGCUCGUAGUUGAAACUUGGGCCUGGCUGGCGGGUCCGCCUCACCGCGUGCACUCGUCCGGCCGGGCCUUCCUUCUGAAGAACCUCAUGCCCUUCACUGGGCGUGCUGGGGAAUCAGGACUUUUACUUUGAAAAAAUUAGAGUGUUCAAAGCAGGCCUUUGCUCGAAUACGUUAGCAUGGAAUAAUAAAAUAGGGCGUGCGUUUCUAUUUUGUUGGUUUCUAGAGACGCCGCAAUGAUUAACAGGAACAGUCGGGGGCAUCAGUAUUCAGUUGUCAGAGGUGAAAUUCUUGGAUUUACUGAAGACUAACUACUGCGAAAGCAUUUGCCAAGGAUGUUUUCAUUAAUCAGUGAACGAAAGUUAGGGGAUCGAAGACGAUCAGAUACCGUCGUAGUCUUAACCGUAAACUAUGCCGACUAGGGAUCGGGCGAUGUUCUUUUUCUGACUCGCUCGGCACCUUACGAGAAAUCAAAGUUUUUGGGUUCUGGGGGGAUUAUGGUCGCAAGGCUGAAACUUAAAGAAAUUGACGGAAGGUCACCACCAGGCGUGAGCCUGCGGCUUAAUUUGACUCAACACGGGGAAACUCACCAGGUCCAGAUGAAAUAGGAUUGACAGAUUGAGAGCUCUUUCUUGAUUUUCAGUGUGUGCAUGGCCGUUCUCAGUUCGUGGGUGACUGUCUGCUUAUAGCGAUACGAGCGAGACCUUACUCUGCUAAAUAGCCAGGCUAACUUUUGGGUGGGUCGCCGGCUUCUUCAGAGAGACUAU